CCUAAACCCAAGACUUAGGCAACUAAGUCCUAGAUUUGGCUCCACUGUGAUCCACAAAACUUCCACUGAAUCUGGUAUACACUAAACUCACUUGGUAACUAAGUUUUUAGGGUAAAAGUUCCAUAGGUGCAUAAGUUCUUGCCUCUAGGUAUGUGCACUGCUACCUUCUGCUUGGUGUCCAGAGGCCUAUCUCCCACCUAACCCACAGAGCAAUUCACAAACUGGUGGAAGAUAGGCCUCUGUCCACCUAUCUUCAGAGGCUUAUGCUCCAAGGCUGGCUACUGGAUAGGGUCUUAUUCAAAAUCUGUCCAGUGUAGGAAGAGGUGCUGGUGUUCACCUUCUAACUUUAAACCCAGUGGUUAAUGCACUUACCUGGGAUGGGUGAGACACACAUUCCUUCCCUGCCUCUGCCUGAUGAGGAGAAAGGGUCUGAACAGAGGUUCUCUUCUUGGCCCCAUGACUCUUUAAGUAUCUAUACACAGUGGAACUGUUGUUAGGCCAGAAAAAGAGAGAGAAUGACUUUGUAGUCAGAUGAUUAGGGCUCCCACCUGGAAGGUGGGAGACCUAGGGUCCAAUCACUCUUUCAUUGUUUAUCCACAGUGGAACAGUAUUAAUAGGAGAGACUGAGGGAUUCCCUCAUCAGAACAUCAUGCAGCUCAGAGCUCUCUCCUGAGAGGUGGGAGACUCCUGUUCAAUCCUUUCUCCUGCUCAGGCAAAGAAGGGAAUUGAACUUGGGUCUCCCACAUCAUAGGUGAGUGUUCUGAACACUGAGUUAAAAGUUAAAACAUGGACUGCUCCCACUCUGGCAAUUUUGUGUGGAGUGAGGCAGGCACCUAACUCAUUGCCACAAGAAACUGCUUAGCCAAUUCCUGAGUCUAGGAGCUGAGGUCCUGUUUGUGGAUUGCUAAGCAGAGAUAGGUACCCCUCGCUGUGAGAGGGAGAGGGCUUAGGACACCCCCAUCUGGUUGGUAUCUCCUAAUGACUAGUUUAGGCAGCUCCCCCCUCCCCCAAUAUGCUGGCUUUUGUAGAUCUCAUUCCAAGGUGGCACCUAUUCACUGCGCAGUGAGCCUAGUCACCUGACUCUGGCUUUGUGGAUGGCAGUGUUGCUCCUGUGAUAACUUUUAGGUGCCAUAUUUCUCAGCAUUGCAGUGCCUAGGUUCUUUUGUGGAUCUGGGCCUUACUUCACUAGAAGUCCCCACUGAUUUACAGUGGAAGAACUCAGAGUAAGAUACUACUUGACAUAAGUAAGGGUCACAGAAUUGGUCCCUUAAUAAGAAGUCAAUCACUAGUUGUUUUAUAAUCCAGGUUCAGAUUAAGCAGAGAGAAGAGGUUGACGGCAAAAGAAAUGUCUGGCCCCAGUCCAGUAAUGCACUGAAGCAUGUGCUUAACUUUAAACUCCUGAGUAGUCCGCACUGACUUCAAUAGAACUGCUUUAUGUGCUUAAACUUAAGCACAUGUUUAGUGUAUUGGAAUUUCAUAGUGACUGUAUAGCCUCCUUAUUCCUGAUGUUGUGCUGAGUCAUAACAAUGUGCUUAAUUGCUUUGCUGGAUUAUAAAAUGUAAGAUCAAGUGGCAAACCAAGUACAAGACUAUUUUGGUUUAACCUGACAGGGCAUUUCUGAAGUGUAAGAAUAAUUUGUUUUUAACAAUAUCUGACAGAGACACUUUGGAAGAGAGAAAGUGCCCUUGUGAGACUUGGGAUGCAUAGAUGUUAAUGACUCUGAUAUUUUAUAGAACAAAAGAAUCCAAACUGUUUUCCAUAGAAUCUGUUUGAGCUCAGAUGUGUGAAAAACAAAAAUGACCAUCCAAAAAAAAAAUAGUAAGAUGAUAGUUAUUUCACUACCCUGAAAACUUACUACAGGAAGGAAUGUUCUGCAGCAUUAAAAUAUGAGAGGAUAUAUUUUUUUGGUCUAUGUGCGCAUUGUGAGGCACACAGCUAUAUUUAGAGGUAGAUGAGUUUCAGUAAUGGGUGAAAUGGUUAUAUGCAGUCUCUAUAUUAGUCUGUGAUCUUUCUGAAUGAAAAGCCAUACAUAAAUAUCAUUAACAUUAGCUGCCUAUGAUACUGGGCAGAUAUAGUGAUGAGACAACAUUUUUGAGCCACGUGAAGAACUUCAGACAUGUUCUGAUGUAUUGUUUCCAGUAUACAGAAAUUGGAGCUGCCUGAGGAAAUUUGUAUAAUGAUAUUAAAAAUGUUACAACCAAGACAAAAUUAUAAAAGCAAGGAAAUUAUUAGAUAAAAUUGUGGCAGAAUCUUCACAUUACUCUAUAUGUAGGUGUAAAAGCUUUUAUUAUGGUUUAAAUGUGAAUGGAGAGAGCUGUCUGACACCUGCUCUCAGUAAGCAGUAUACCUUUAUUUUUUGCGCCCUCUCUCUCUCUCUCUCUCUCUCUUAAGAUACUGAAAAUUCACUGAGUUUCCUCCUUAGCUAAUCCACAACAUAAAUAGUGUUGCCAUUUUUAGCCUGAGUGGUUACCCAAUAUUCCGGACCUUGAUGGGUCGUUUCCGCUGGGAGGAGAAAUUGAAGAUAGUCCGAUAUUUCUUGGGUGUGAUCCUGUUUCUUUACAAAGAAUGUCCAAAGUACCAUUUCCUUGAACACAGCAGGAAUAAAACAACAGGAGGCAGUUUCCUUCUUCAGAAAUCCAAGCCCGCUUCCAGCCACUACUCUGCCCAAGAGAAGCACACUCUUUCAGUGUCCUCCCAGGGACAUGCUUCCAGUCAUGCCUUGGUUUUUUCUGUGCUUUUUGCAGAGAUAAUUCUCGGCUUUUUUGCCUCUGACACUCUCACUUGCUGAGUUUGCCAUCAUCCCCCAGGGAAACUGCUCUGCCCAUAUGAUUCAGCUUCUGCAGGUGGCCUAGUUCCUUGGCUGAUGUCCUCUAUCACUUCAGCCCUUUUACUCCAUAAGGAGCUUAAUUGCUUCUUACAUUAUCCUGAAUGAAAGGUGGCUAACAUGCCCAUCAGCCUGCACCAAGGUCUCUGAUUGCCCACAGAUCAAAGAGGUGCACGAUGGUUGUUACCAUCCCCUUCCACCAUGACAAUAACCUGAUAAAUUAUUCUGGGAGUUGCAGUUUUCAGAAUCCUGGCACAGGAAUGCCCGUCAGUGAGUUGAAUACGCAAUGGCACUGAGUGAGAAAUCCCUCUCCAGGCCUUGGUGAAUGAACAUUUUCAGAAAGGCUGAGUGCCAUUUCCAGAAAUGCCUAUUCAGCAUAAUACUGAGACUUAGAACAGACUCAGCACCACACUGAGGAUCCUACUGUUGAGAGUAGGAAUCGGUUUUGGACUAGCCUACCUGAUCUGAUGUCUGGGCAGAGGUUGAAAUCUCUUGAGAUAAUGAAAGAGCUGACCAUCACCUCCAUGUUGGACAACAACUUUACCAGCUCCUCUAGGAAGCCUUCGGUUUCUGAGGGAUUAUACAGUAGAAAGGUGCCCAGGUUUGUUCCGUUUCUUCACUGUCUGAUUAAGUGAACACACAAAGGAUCUGAAUGAGCCCAUGAUACCAGCCUCCAUGGCCCGCUUGCUAAAUUUCCAACAAGCACCACUGUGCUUUUUUUUUUCCCUGCUGCUCCUCAUGCUUAGAACAUGCUUCCCAUAAACGUCGGCAAAGCUACCUCAUUGAUCUCCUUCAAAUCCCUUCUCAAAACUCUCCUUUGCCAUGAUGCCUGCAAAACACUUGUAGGCAGUGGUCUCAACGGUCUGUCACGCUGACUCCUUUUAUUCCCCCAUUGGUCUGUGUUCAUCUCUUGUCUUUUAAUUAGAUUGUAAACUUCUUGGGCAGGGAUUGUCUUUUUGUUCUAUAUACAGCACUUAGCACAGUGGGGUCCUUGUCCAUGACUAGGGCUCCUCAGUGCUCUGGUAAUAUGAGUAACAGAUCAUAUUAUUGAGUGAAAUGAGCUCUUUCUGUAUUUCAGCCCCCGAAGGAAUAAAAUGACUACUCUGCCCCCAGGUCUGUCUGUGCUGGAUCUGGACCUGUGCUGAAUAGAGCAUUGUGGGGGGAGAUGCCAUGAGCUAAACAUAAUACACUUAUCAGAAAAUUGGCACAUUCACAUCUAUGAAACAACUGCUGCAUUGGACACCUCACACCAAACAUGGGGGACGACAGUCUCUUAUUCCUUAAAAGGUGUGCUGUCUCUUUAAGGCCAGGCCUGUUGGGAAAAGAGGCAGGACUAUAUAAGGAGCAUUCUGCAAUGACUUUACUGCCAAACAAUCUCUUCCCUUUGGGACCCCAUUAGGGAGGUAAUGACACUUAUCCUGGAAUCGCUUAGCCAAACCAAC